UAUGUAGGGGGCGAGCGUUAUCCGGAAUUAUUGGGCGUAAAGGGUGUGCAGGCGGCUUGCCAAGUUUGCGGCGACAGCCAUCGACUUAAUCGGUGGAGGACUGCAAAAACUGGCAGACUUGAGAGCGAGAGAGGGACAUGGAACUCCGGGUGGAGCGGUGAAAUGCGUAGAGAUCCGGAAGAACACCGAAGGCGAAGGCAGUGUCCUGGCUCGUCUCUGACGCUCAAGCACGAAAGCUAGGGGAGCGAACAGG
rnacentral:rRNA from 1 species